UACGGAGGGUGCAAGCGUUAUCCGGAUUCACUGGGUUUAAAGGGUGCGUAGGAGGGCAGGUAAGUCAGUGGUGAAAUCUCCGGGCUUAACUCGGAAACUGCCGUUGAUACUACUGAUCUUGAAUUUUCAGGAGGUAAGCGGAAUAUGUCAUGUAGCGGUGAAAUGCUUAGAUAUGACAUAGAACACCAAUUGCGAAGGCAGCUUACUACAGGAACAUUGACACUGAUGCACGAAAGCGUGGGGAUCAAACAGG
rnacentral:rRNA from 1 species